AGCUCCAAUAGCGUAUAUUAAUGUUGUUGCGGUUAAAAAGCUCGUAGUUGGAUUUUGGGUUCGGCUCCGGCGGGCCGGUGAAAACCGUGUCUACUAGAACGGACCUUCUGUCUGGAGCCCCCUCUUCGUAUCUUCAUUGAGACGGGUGGGGACUUUAGGACUUUUACUUUGAACAAAUUGGAGUGUUUAAAGCAGGCGAUCGCCUUGAACACAUUAGCAUGGAAUAACAGUAUAGGACUUUGGUUCUAUUUUGUUGGUUUUAAGGACCGAGGUAAUGAUUAAUAGGGACAGUUGGGGGCAUUCGUAUUUAAUUGUCAGAGGUGAAAUUCUUAGAUUUAUGAAAGACGAACUUCUGCGAAAGCAUUUGCCAAGGAUGUUUUCAUUAAUCAAGAACGAAAGU
rnacentral:rRNA from 1 species